AACGUAGGAGGCGAGCGUUAUCCGGAGUUACUGGGCGUAAAGCGCGUGUAGGCGGUUGCGCAGGUCCGAUGUGAAAGCUCCCAGGCUAAACCGGGAGAGGUCAUUGGAAACCACGCGGCUAGAGGUCGGUAGAGGGACAUGGAAUUCCGGGUGUAGUGGUGAAAUGCGUAGAGAUCCGGAGGAACACCAGAAGCGAAGGCGGUGUCCUGGGCCGAAACUGACGCUGAGACGCGAAAGCAUGGGUAGCGAACGGG
rnacentral:rRNA from 1 species